UGUUCAUGUGUACAGCUUAAAGGCAACAUCAACACUCUUUAUAUAUUCAUUUAUGACAGGAAACACAUCAUUAUGAAGAAAUGUAAUUUAUGUUGUCAAUGUAUACAUUUUAAGUCAAUGAAAAGCAAAGUAAUAAUUUCCAAAUGAUUUACCAUAACAAUACAAAAUAUAAUAAUAAAGCCAAGCAUUGAUUUACACAAAUCAGUAAAACUGUGAAUAAAGUUGUAACGACGGGACGCCGUUACUAGAGCUCACGUGGACAUGUUUAUAUAGGCUAAUCAUUGUUUUAAUAGGUAUAUUGACGACAACUUCCCCUUUCCCCAUCUUGUGUGUUGUUUCC